GGGGUGAAAAGUCUAUCAUAGAGAAAAACAAUAUAUAAGGCUUGAGUAGAGGAAGACUCAAGAAAGGUACGUAUGAAAUGUAUGUCCAUUUCUGAUAAGAAAGAACUGAAGUCAACAAGAAGCUAAUAGGGAGGAAAUUUGGGUAUCAAAGAACUAGGGUUCUCAAUGUGGCUGAGAAAUAGUUUUAUUCAGGAUGAACUCAUUCAAGAAUUAGAAAAUGAAUGGUUGCCCUCUAAGGGUGAAACACAAUGGUCUUAAAUUUUACAUUUGAUUACUUCUGGGAAAUGAUGAAACUUCAUCAUUGUUUCUGUUUUCUUUAGUGCUACACCACCGAUCUACAGCAUGGUGACUGGGAGUCUAGGGAUCUUGUGUGUGGUCUGGAUGACAACAGUGGGUGCCUUGCUUGCAAACUGUAAGUAAUUAAGAAAAUAAUCUGUUUUUAUUAAAAUCAGUAACAUAAUACACUUCAAUGAUUUGCUUUCAAGACUGAUUUUUACGUUGUCUUAAUUAUUUUAUCCUAUACAGAACUAAUUACUACCAUAAUUUUUACCACAGUAUUUUCUAGCAGAGAAGAACGAAACUGAAAAAGAUCACCUGUUCCCACACUAUCUUCUAAAAAUGGUGAAUGUUCCUGUGAUCUUUGUUCAACCCACUGGAUUGGAUUUGGAAAUAGCUCUUAUCAUCUUUCCAAUAAAUCCAAAACCUGGGCGGAGAGCCAUGCUGCCUGUGCAGAGCUGAAUUCCCACCUUCUAAAGAUUGGUAUCAAGGAAGAGCUGGUAGGGCAGACACUUCUGUUUUUUUUGUUAUACUGUAACUAUAUCUGGUUUCAAAGCAUUAGUGAUUGACACCAUAAUUUGGGAAAACUGAAGGUUCUCAAAAGUGUAUGAUAUUUUCUUACUUUGACUCAAUUUUCUUAGGGAGAAACUCCACUUUUUGAACAUUUAAUGCUAGAAGAAAACCACAUUAACAAAUGAGAUACCUUGAGAAAAAAUCUUAUUAAUACUAAGUGGAUGUGUGCAAGCCCUUG
rnacentral:lncRNA from 1 species